rnacentral:misc_RNA from 1 species
GAAAUGCGAUAAGUAAUGUGAAUUGCAGAAUUCAGUGAAUCAUCGAAUCUUUGAACGCACAUUGCGCCCGCCAGUAUUCUGGCGGGCAUGCCUGUUCGAGCGUCAUUUCAACCAUCAAGCCCCGGGCUUGUGUUGGGGACCUGCGGCUGCCGCAGGCCCUGAAAACCAGUGGCGGGCUCGCUGUCACACCGAGCGUAGUAGAUUCUCAUCUCGCUCAGGGCGUGCUGCGGGCUCCGGCCGUAAAACAGCCUUAUUUUACCCAAGGUUGACCUCGGAUCAGGUAGGAAGACCCGCUGAGUUUAA